rnacentral:rRNA from 1 species
CGCUACACAUGCAGUCGAGCGAAGAACUAGUUUACUAGUUACUGAGCGGCGAACGGGUGAGUAAUACUUGGAUAAUCUGCCACUAGGAUUGGGAUAACCUCAGGAAACUGAGACUAAUACCAAAUAUGACCACAGUCUUUACGGAGACAGGGGUAAAAUGUUUUUCGCCUAGUGAUGAGUCCAAGUCGCAUCAGGUUGUUGGUAAGGUAAUGGCUUACCAAGCCUAUGACGCGUAGCAGGUCUUAGCGGAUGAUCUGCCACAUGGGGACUGAGAUACGGCCCUGACUCCUACGGGAGGCAGCAGUGAGGAAUAUUGGACAAUGGACGAAAGUCUGAUCCAGCGAUGCCGCGUGAAGGAUGAAGGCCUUAGGGUUGUAAACUUCUGUCAGCAGGGAAGAUAAUGACGGUACCUGCAGAGGAAGCCCCGGCUAACUCCGUGCCAGCAGCCGCGGUAAUACGGAGGGGGCAAACGUUAUUCGGAUUUACUGGGCGUAAAGGGUUCGUAGGCGGUUUUUUAAGUUAGAUGUGAAAGCUUGAAGCUUAACUUCAAAAUAGCAUCUAAAACUGAAUUACUAGAUUCUUGGAGAGGUAGAUGGAAUUACCGGUGUAGCGGUGAAAUGCGUAGAUAUCGGUAGGAACACCAGUGGCGAAAGCGAUCUACUGGACAAGUAAUGACGCUGAGGGACGAAAGCGUGGGUAGCAAACAGGAUUAGAUACCCUGGUAGUCCACGCCCUAAACGAUGAAUACUAGAUGUUGGAUUUUUUCAGUAUCGUAGCUAACGUAUUAAGUAUUCCGCCUGGGGAGUACGGUCGCAAGGCUGAAACUCAAAGGAAUUGGCGGGGACUCGCACAAGCGGUGGAGCAUGUGGUUUAAUUCGAUGCUAAGCGAAGAACCUUACCAGGCUUGACAUGUAAGCAUAAGCUUGCGUGAAAGCGUGAGUGAUUUGAGUUUACUCAUUUCGGUUUACACAGGUGCUGCAUGGCUGUCGUCAGCUCGUGCCG